CACACAUGCAUACACGGACGCACGCACACGCACGCGCGCACACACACACACACACACUACACACACAAGCAAGAAGUUUCCAUUUCCCGUGCGUAAGAUCACCUGUGCAGACAGAAUGGCGUGCUUCAAUGCGACAAGCUCAGGCAGGAAAACAGGAAAGGGAGUUCAAGGGUGUCCAACAUGAAAUACUCAGAGUUGGGGGAAACCCAGUGCUCAUGGCAGCACUCCAGUUUAUGAAGAAAACUGUUUUUAGGUACUCGCAGAGUUGAUACCGUCGAGAUCAAGAUUCUGUGAGGAGUUCAUUACAAAACUCACGCAAGCAAGCCUUGAAGAACCUUACUUUCUGCAUUGCGACCCGGUCAUGCUGGAACAGAAAGUGGCCUUUCUCAAAAUGGUUCACACAAAGCUGGAAGUGUGAAAUUUUCCCAAAAGUCUACACAAGAUAAAUAAGUAAAAUUCAGGACUACUCAAA